GUGCCCUUGGAACCUGAGCACUCACUGCCGUCUCCUGCUUCAAGACUGCUCCCAGCAUUAAGGUGCAGUGCUCAUUUUUUUCCCUCUGUGUGGCUUGAGUGGUCCCUGGUGCAGCUUGGGACACACCUCCAAAAGAAACAAGCCAUAAACCUUUGUGGUGUCUCUGCCUGGCCAACUCUCGGUAUACAGAGUGAAUUACCUAUGGAGACAUGCUUACCUCCAAGUAGAUGUCAAAGGAUGUCUCAGAGAGCCUCAGGGCCCAGGCAGAGGACUGGGGGAGGGGCAUGGCCCACAUAGAGCAUCCUCACGAGGGCUCUGAGGGGAUCAUGGGGCUCUAGUGGGAUCCUGGGGCAGGGCUACUCUCAAGAUGCCAGAGCUAUAGAGCUGCCAGUGUGCAACUACAGCCUGGGAAAGCCACAGGCAUGUGACUCCAACCCUGGAGAGCUGUCAUGUGAACUGCACCCAGCAAAGGGGUGGGAGUGGGGCUGCCAGGAGCUUUGAGAGCCAAUCCCUACCCCAGUGUGUUCAGAAGGUGGUUCAUGGAGGGAAAGAAUAUUUUUCUGAAGAGUUAAGAUUUAGUGCUUGCCUUGCUAGGUUCUGGAUUUGGAUGGAACCUAUUACCCCUUUCUUCCUUUCUGUUUCUCCCUUUUGGAAUGGGAAUGUCUAUCCUAUGCCUGACUCACUAUUGUAUUUUAGAAGAAUAUAACUUGUUUGAUUUCUCAGGCUUACAGCUGAGAUAAAUUUGCCUCAGGAUGAAUCACACUUUAAGUCUCACCCAUAUCAGAAUUAGAUAAUAUUUAAAUGAAAAUUUGGACUUAGACUUUAAAGUUGAUGCUAGAGGGAAUUAAAACUUUGGAGGUUAUGGAAUGGAUUGAGUGAGUUUUGUUUAUGAGAAGGACAUACAUUUUGGGAGAUUUGGGGCAGGAUGCUAUGGUUUGAAGAUUUGCGUCCCUCCCUAAAUUUAUGUUGCAGCUUUAUCCGCAAUGCAACAGUACUAAGGGGCAGAGCCUUUAGUAGUAGGUGAUAAGGCCAUGAGAGCUCUGAUGCUAGGGGAUGGGAUUAGAGCGCUUAUAAAAUGUUUGAAGGGGUGAGGUCAUCCUUUUUAACCUCCAUCUGUUUUGGCCGUGGGAGGAUUAUAGUAAAAAGUCACCAACUUCAAAAAAGAGCAGGCAUCACUAGACACCAAACCUCCCUGCAUCUUGAUCUUGGACCUUCUAUCCCCAGCACUGUGAGAAA
rnacentral:lncRNA from 1 species